AAUUUUUGACAAUGGGGGCAACCCUUAUCCAGCCAUCUCGCGUGUGCGAUGAAGGCCUNCGGGUUNUNAAGCACUUUUGGCAGGGNCGAAAAGGCGCGGGCUAAUACCCGGCGCCUCCGACGGUACCUGCAGAAUAAGCACCGGCUAACUACGUUCCAGCAGCCGCGGUAAUACGUAGGGUGCAAGCGUUAAAUGGAAUUACUGGGCGUAAAGAGUGCGCAGGCGGUUCGGCAAGAAGGAUGUGAAAUACCGGGGAUUAACAUCGGAGAUGCAUUCUUAACUGCCGGGCUAGAGUAUGUCAGAGGGGGGUAGAAUUCCACGUGUAGCAGUGAAAUGCGUAGAGAUGUGGAGGAAUACCGAUGGCGAAGGCAGCGCCCUGGGAUGAAACUGACGCUCAUGCACGAAAGCGUGGGGAGCAAACA
rnacentral:rRNA from 1 species